rnacentral:rRNA from 1 species
UGGGGAAUAUUGCGCAAUGGGGGGAACCCUGACGCAGCCAUGCCGCGUGAAUGAAGAAGGCCUUCGGGUUGUAAAGUUCUUUCGGUGAUGAGGAAGGUAUAAUGGUUAAUACCCGUUAUAAUUGACGUUAAUUACAGAAGAAGCACCGGCUAACUCCGUGCCAGCAGCCGCGGUAAUACGGAGGGUGCGAGCGUUAAUCGGAAUAACUGGGCGUAAAGGGCACGCAGGCGGUUAUUUAAGUGAGGUGUGAAAGCCCCGGGCUUAACCUGGGAAUUGCAUUUCAGACUGUAUAACUAGAGUACUUUAGGGAGGGGUAGAAUUCCACGUGUAGCGGUGAAAUGCGUAGAGAUGUGGAGGAAUACCGAAGGCGAAGGCAGCCCCUUGGGAAUGUACUGACGCUCAUGUGCGAAAGCGUGGGGAGCAAACAGG